UGAGGGAAUAUUGGUCAAUGGACGCAAGUCUGAACCAGCCAUGCCGCGUGCAGGAAGACGGCUCUAUGGAGUUAGUAAACUGCUUUUGUACGAGGGUAAACGCAGAUACGCGUAUCUGUCUGAAAGUAUCGUACGAAUAAGGAUCGGCUAACUCCGUGCC
rnacentral:rRNA from 1 species